rnacentral:rRNA from 1 species
UACGUAGGGGCCUAGCGUUGUCCGGAUUUAUUGGGCGUAAAGAGCUCGUAGGCGGUUUGUCGCGUCGAAUGUGAAAACCCGGGGCUCAACUCCGGGCCUGCAUUCGAUACGGGCAGACUAGAGUUCGGUAGGGGAGACUGGAAUUCCUGGUGUAGCGGUGAAAUGCGCAGAUAUCAGGAGGAACACCGAUGGCGAAGGCAGGUCUCUGGGCCAUAACUGACGCUGAGACGCGAAAGCGUGGGGAGCGAACAGG